rnacentral:rRNA from 1 species
UACGGAGGGUGCAAGCGUUAUCCGGAUUCACUGGGUUUAAAGGGUUCGUAGGUGGGCAAGUAAGUCAGUGGUGAAAUCUCCGGGCUUAACCCGGAAACUGCCAUUGAUACUAUUUGUCUUGAAUACUGUGGAGGUCAGCGGAAUAUGUCAUGUAGCGGUGAAAUGCUUAGAUAUGACAUAGAACACCAAUUGCGAAGGCAGCUGGCUACACAAAUAUUGACACUGAGGCACGAAAGCGUGGGGAUCAAACAGG